rnacentral:misc_RNA from 1 species
GAAAUGCGAUAAGUAAUGUGAAUUGCAGAAUUCAGUGAAUCAUCGAAUCUUUGAACGAACAUUGCGCCCGCCAGUAUUCUGGCGGGCAUGCCUGUUCGAGCGUCAUUUCAACCAUCAAGCCCCCGGCUUGUGUUGGGGACCUGCGGCUGCCCGCAGGCCCUGAAAAACAGUGGCGGGCUCGCUGUCACACCGAGCGUAGUAGCAUACAUUCUCGCUCAGGGCGUGCUGCGGGUUCCGGCCGUUAAACGACCUUCAUAACCCAAGGUUGACCUCGGAUCAGGUAGGAAGACCCGCUGAACUUAAGC